UAAAAAAUUUGGCGGUAUUUUAGUCUAUUCAGAGGAACCCUGUUUUGUAAUUGAUAAUCCACCAUUGUACCCUUACUUAAAUUUGUAAUCCAGUUUAUAUACCCGUCGUUAUUAGAAUAUUUUAUAAGAAUGUUAAUUUUCAUAAUUUUAAAAAAGAAAAUAUAUCAGAUCAAGGUGUAGCUUAUGUUUAAGUAAAAAUGGGUUACAUUAAAAUUAUUUAUACGAAUAUAAAUUUGAAAUAUUUAUUGAAGGUGGAUUUGAUAGUAAAGUUAUAUAGAUUAAUAACUUGAUUUUAGCUCUAAAAUAUGUACACAUCGCCCGUCACUCUUACUAUUAAGGUAAGAUAAGUCGUAACAUAGUAGAUGUACUGGAAAGUGUACCUAGAAUGCAAUUUAAAGCUUAUUAAGUAAAGUAUUUCAUUUACAUUGAAAAGAUUUUUGUGCAAAUCAAUAUAAAUUGAUUAAAUUUUAUUUAUUAAUUUUAUUUUUUUUAUUAAAUUAUUUUAUUAAAAAUAAUUAUAAAAUUAUUUGUUUUAGUAUUUUAUAAAGAAAAAAUAAUAUUAAUUAUAGUUUAAUAGUAUUGUAAAAGAAAAUUGAAAUAAAUUGAAAAAUUUUAUAUA
rnacentral:rRNA from 1 species